UGGGAAUAUUGCACAAUGGGCGAAAGCCUGAUGCAGCGACGCCGCGUGAGGGAUGACGGCCUUCGGGUUGUAAACCUCUUUCAGCAGGGAAGAAGCGAAAGUGACGGUACCUGCAGAAGAAGCGCCGGCUAACUACGUGCCAGCAGCCGCGGUAAUACGUAGGGCGCAAGCGUUGUCCGGAAUUAUUGGGCGUAAAGAGCUCGUAGGCGGUUAGUCGCGUCUGCUGUGAAAACUCGAGGCUCAACCUCGGGCUUGCAGUGGGUACGGGCUGACUAGAGUGCGGUAGGGGUGACUGGAAUUCCUGGUGUAGCGGUGGAAUGCGCAGAUAUCAGGAGGAACACCGAUGGCGAAGGCAGGUCACUGGGCCGCAACUGACGCUGAGGAGCGAAAGCAUGGGGAGCGAACAGGAUUAGAUAGCCCUGGUAGUCCAUGCCGUAAACGUUGGGCACUAGGUGUGGGUCCAUUCCACGGAUUCCGUGCCGCAGCAAAGCGCAUUAAGUGCCCCGCCUGGGGAGUACGGCCGCAAGCUAAAACUCAAAGGAAUUG
rnacentral:rRNA from 1 species